rnacentral:rRNA from 1 species
CGAGCACGCGCGUGUGGCAUAUCAAUAAGCGGAGGAAAAGAAACUAACAAGGAUUCCCUUAGUAACGGCGAGUGAAGCGGGAAGAGCUCAAAUUUGAAAUCUUCAAGGUCCUACCUUGACGAAUUGUAGUUUAUAGAAGUGUUUUCUGUUAGUAGAGUGGCAAAAGUUCUUUGGAAUAGGACAUCAUAGAGGGUGAGAAUCCCGUAUUUGGUCAUUCUCUUCUAGCGUUGUGAUACACUUUCAACGAGUCGGAUUGUCUGGGAAUGCAGUCCAAAAUGGGUGGUAAAUUUCAUCUAAAGCUAAAUAUUGGCGAGAGACCGAUAGCGAACAAGUACCGUGAGGGAAAGAUGAAAAGAACUUUGAAAAGAGAGUUAAACAGUACGUGAAAUUGUCAAAAGGGAAGCGUUUGACACCAGUGUUGUUUUUCCGAAAAUCAAUUACGAAUGUUUUGUUUUUGAGGAGUUAUGACUUCAUCGGCUUGCUCCUUUCUUUACGAAACUUUCUUAAUGCACUUUUCGGUUAACAAGUCAACAUCAAUUUCUUUUGCUGUAAAAGGGUAAGAGGAAGGUGGCUUUAUUUUCGGCUGAAAGUGUUUAUAGCCUUGUAGCCUCUGCAAUCGGAGAGAUUGAGGUCUGCAGCGUAGAUCCUUCGGGGUUAGAUACGUUUGUGCUAAGUUAUAGCUUUUCAUAGACAACUUGUUGACUAUGUUUAGUCUUGUAGCUUACUCGCUGACGCUAUUUUACCUACGCUUAGGAUGUUGAUGUGAUACUGCGAGCA